rnacentral:rRNA from 1 species
AGUGAACGCUGGCGGUAGGCCUAACACAUGCAAGUCGAACGGCAGCACAGUAAGAGCUUGCUCUUACGGGUGGCGAGUGGCGGACGGGUGAGGAAUACAUCGGAAUCUACUUUUUCGUGGGGGAUAACGUAGGGAAACUUGCGCUAAUACCGCAUACGACCUACGGGUGAAAGCAGGGGGUCUUCGGACCUUGCGCGAUUGAAUGAGCCGAUGUCGGAUUAGCUAGUUGGCGGGGUAAAGGCCCACCAAGGCGACGAUCCGUAGCUGGUCUGAGAGGAUGAUCAGCCACACUGGAACUGAGACACGGUCCAGACUCCUACGGGAGGCAGCAGUGGGGAAUAUUGGACAAUGGGCGCAAGCCUGAUCCAGCCAUACCGCGUGGGUGAAGAAGGCCUUCGGGUUGUAAAGCCCUUUUGUUGGGAAAGAAAAGCAGCAGGUUAAUACCCCGCUGUUCUGACGGUACCCAAAGAAUAAGCACCGGCUAACUUCGUG